CUCUCACAAUGGGAUGAAGUCCAUGUUGGUGAUACAUCUCCCUGCACCAUCCCUCCGAGAUGAGUGGAAGGAAGCGCAGCAAGCCGAAACAUGCAGCGUUUCCUGUCAGAUUCUGAUUUGUGCCCUUUCUGUAACGAAAUCAAAGGAGUGCUGUGCUUGGAGGUAACCUGGAGGAAGUAAAUAAUUCCAUAAACACCAAGGAGCCAACGGAAGGAGCAGGACAAGAAACAAUGAAAAACUGCUGUGGUUAUUGGAAGGACACCAUGAUGAUAUGCAUAUGCCAGGGUGCUUAAGUGGAACCUCCAUGUGAAGGAAUUGGAUACCCCUGGGUUGGGGCAGACACAUGCCUUGACAUCCGGGAAGCCACGGUUAAAAACAGAUUCUUGGGCUAGAUGGAGAUCUGGAUGGACUAGUUCAUUGGUAAUAUCCAAAUCCAAGUUAAAGAAGGAUCAGGGAAAGAGCCACAAACAGGAUGAAAAGUCUGCCAGAGGCAACAGAAGUGAGGGCAGAAAGCUGAUGCCAAUGUGUAGGAGUGCCCAUAGAAAAGUGCUCCACCGUUUUCCAGGAUGCUAGAACGUUGGAAACUGGCUGGACUAGAAGUUGAAUCUGGAGAUGAGACAGCAUCCAUCACCACACCCGAAAGCAGCAGCCAGCUUAGCUCCUUGACCCUCAACAGUGACCGCCAGAGCCAGCCGCCUCACUCUGCCUGGGACAGGGGUACCAUCUCAUCCUUCAUCUCAGGCAACAAAAUGUCUUGACCUGGUGGUGGCUGGUGGUGCCCAUGAAGAUUGGCAGAAUGGAAGGAAGGGAAGACUAAACGUAGACGAAGGCCAGAGGCAAUGGCAGGUAC